AGGGAAACCUUAGCUAAUACCGCAUAACACCUACGGGUCAAAGGAGCAAUUCGCUUCAGGAGGGGGUCGCGGCCGAUUAGUUAGUUGGCGGGGUAAUGGCCCACCAAGACAGUGAUCGGUAUCCGGCCUGAGAGGGCGCACGGACACACUGGAACUGAAACACGGUCCAGACUCCUACGGGAGGCAGCAGUGGGGAAUUUUGCGCAAUGGGGGAAACCCUGACGCAGCAACGCCGCGUGGAGGAUGAAGUACUUCGGUACGUAAACUCCUUUCGAUCGGGACGAUAAUGACGGUACCGGAAGAAGAAGCCCCGGCUAACUUCGUGCCAGCAGCCGCGGUAAUACGAGGGGGGCAAGCGUUGUUCGGAAUUAUUGGGCGUAAAGGGUGCGUAGGCGGUUUGGUAAGUCUUGUGUGAAAUCUAUGGGCUCAACUCAUAGACUGCACGAGAAACUGCCGGGCUUGAGUGUGGGAGAGGUGAGUGGAAUUCCUGGUGUAGCGGUGAAAUGCGUAGAUAU
rnacentral:rRNA from 1 species